GGAGUUAGCCGGUGCUUCUUCUGUGAGUGAUGUCCUUCCUGCCGGCUAUUAACCCGCAGGCCUUCUUCCUCACUGAAAGUGCUUUACAACCCGAAGGCCUUCUUCACACACGCGGCAUGGCUGGAUCAGGGUUGCCCCCAUUGUCCAAUAUUCCCCACUGCUGCCUCCCGUAGGAGUCUGGGCCGUGUCUCAGUCCCAGUGUGGCUGAUCAUCCUCUCAGACCAGCUACGGAUCGUCGCCUUGGUGAGCCGUUACCUCACCAACCAGCUAAUCCGACAUAGGCUCAUCCGAUAGCGCGAGGCCCGAAUGUCCCCCGCUUUCCCCCGUAGGGCGUAUGCGGUAUUAGCCUGGGUUUCCCCAGGUUAUCCCCCACUACCGGGCAGAUUCCUAUGCAUUACUCACCCGUCCGCCGCUCGCCACCAGGGAGCAAGCUCCCCGUGCUGCCGCUCGACUUGCAUGUGUUAGGCCUGCCGCCAGCGUUCAAUCUGAACCAGAUCAAAUUCUGA
rnacentral:rRNA from 1 species